CACGUAGGGUGCAAGCGUUGUCCGGAAUUAUUGGGCGUAAAGAGCUCGUAGGCGGUCUGUCGCGUCGGCUGUGAAAACCCGAGGCUCAACCUCGGGCCUGCAGUCGAUACGGGCAAACUAGAGUACUGCAGGGGAGACUGGAAUUCCUGGUGUAGCGGUGAAAUGCGCAGAUAUCAGGAGGAACACCGGUGGCGAAGGCGACUUACUGGACGAUUGUUGACGCUGAGGCGCGAAAGCGUGGGGAGCAAACAGG
rnacentral:rRNA from 1 species